rnacentral:rRNA from 1 species
GACGAACCGUACAAACGUUAUUCGGAAUCACUGGGCUUAAAGGGUGCGUAGGCGGCGGCGCAAGUUGGGUGUGAAAUCCCUCGGCUCAACCGAGGAACUGCGCUCAAAACUGCGUUGCUUGAGGGAGAUAGAGGUGAGUGGAACUUAGGGUGGAGCGGUGAAAUGCGUUGAUAUCAGGAGGAACACCGAUGGCGAAGGCAGCUCGCUGGGACGGUACUGACGCUGAGGCGCGAAAGCGUGGGGAGCAAACAGG